CUUGUCCUGGUCCCCAAAGGAAUGGAUAGUAGCCACCAUUCUCCCUCGCCCUUCUUCACUGAAUGGUGGAUUGUGCAUUCAACCCUGAGUCAAUCUUGGACAGUAGUAGAGCACUGCACCUUGAAGCCCCAACCACAACCCCCCCAUAUAUCAAACGUCCUCUUGACCAAGCAGUCUCCUCUCCUACUGGUUGUUGGUUAGCAUGUUGUUCAGCCCUCCAUAGCAGUAUAUUGUUAUGUAAACCAGUCAUAGAUUCAGUGGUGUGUUCCUUCCUGCCUCAGGUGGGCCGUUCGUCUUUAGGGGCAGAGCAGCAGACCACGCUUCCUGAAGCCUGGGAGGUGAGAACCAAUGGGGACCUGGCUCCUGAGAUGAGACCCAAUGGGGGUCUAGCAUCUGAGAUGAGAACCAAUAGGGAUGGCGAGCUAGAGAGCCUGGUGGAUGCUGAGCAGCCAGACAACUACAGUGACUAGUGAUAUCCUCAACUUGGACGCUGUGUGUGGUGUGUGAAUACUUGCGAGUGUGUCCAUCCGGCCAUGUGUCUGUCCAUCCUUCUAACAGUGUCCUCUCCUGCUGUACUGUACAGCCUGCUGCUGAGAGCCUGGUAGACAUGCUGCAGUGUGAGUUCUGUGGGAAGAGAGGCUACGUUCACACCUUCCUCCGAUCCAAACGAUUCUGCUCCAUGACCUGUGUCAGGUUCAAUGUGAGCUGUACUGUACUAAGCAUCUGAGCGAGUUGAAGGUGGACAAGGCCAGUCAUUGGGGCCACAGGCCGAUGGGCAGGAGAGCCCCGGGGAGGAUCAACGGGGGCUCCAGAGAACACUUCCUCCUUAGACAGGUAGGAGGGACAUAUCCAACGAGUUACGUUCCCAGGAGAUUGACGGCCAGGCCAUCCUAUUGCUGACAGAGAACCACUUGAUGACAGCUAUGAAUAUCAAAACUAGGCCCCGCCCUCAGACUCUGUGCCCACAUCAACUCUCUGAGGGAACCAUGAGCACAGGAAAUGAGCAUCUCAAAAGGCACCCUAUUCCCUAUAUAGUGCACUACU